CACGUAGGGCGCGAGCGUUGUCCGGAAUUAUUGGGCGUAAAGAGCUCGUAGGCGGCCUGUUGCGUCCGCUGUGAAAGCCCGGGGCUUAACCCCGGGUCGGCAGUGGAUACGGGCAGGCUAGAGGUAGGUAGGGGAGACUGGAAUUCCUGGUGUAGCGGUGAAAUGCGCAGAUAUCAGGAGGAACACCGAUGGCGAAGGCAGGUCUCUGGGCAUUAACUGACGCUGAGGAGCGAAAGCAUGGGGAGCGAACAGG
rnacentral:rRNA from 1 species